CGCGGGAUGGGGUAGUGGUCGAGCCUACGGGCCUUCAGCCCGUGACGCGGGUUCAAAUCCCGCUCCCGCAACCA
rnacentral:tRNA from 1 species